rnacentral:rRNA from 1 species
UACGGAGGAUCCGAGCGUUAUCCGGAUUUAUUGGGUUUAAAGGGUGCGUAGGCUGGUUUUUAAGUCAGCUGUGAAAUACCGACGCUUACCGUCGGCACUGCAGUUGAAACUGGGAGCCUUGAGAGUGCAAGAGGCAUGCGGAAUUCAUGGUGUAGCGGUGAAAUGCAUAGAUAUCAUGAAGAAACCCGAUUGCGAAAGCAGCAUGCUGGGGCAUAUAUGACGCUGAGUCACGAAAGUGCGGGUAUCAAACAGG